UCCUGCCUUGACUCAUGCCAGCUUGAGUCUAGUCCUUGCUUCCCUGCCUUGAUUCUGACUCAGACUGACGUUUGGCUUGACCUCUUGACCCUACUCCGGCUUACCCUUUAGCUUGGUGUUUCUGAUUCUGACUCUGGUUCUGCCCUUUUGGCUUGGUUCCGUGACCCUGACUCUGGCUUCACCCUCAGACUUGUCUUCUGGCUAUUAACUCUUGAAGCUGAGGCAUACUCAGCUGCUGGGCUGACAGAAGGACAUGCCGGCAGCUUUCUGGGAGUCUCAUGAGUUGAACUCAAGCACUAGACGUAAUACAGGAGCAGUGGUGGAAGGUUCAGCAAAGUAAAGAAACAGCAUUGAAAUCUCCUGACCUUCCUCAGCAGUUAUGGAAGCAAAGCAAUUGCCAUUAUUCAGCCUAACCACACACAUCAGGAUUGAGGUCUAAUAUCACCAGGCAGGAAGUUUAUGGGGAAUAACUCUCAUCAGUGCGAACAGCAGUUGUGACCCAAAUCCCUGAAGUAUCAGGAGGGAAUGGACACAGAUAUCGCAAAGCACAAGGGAACAGUUCACUUUAUGGAUGUGACAGACGUGCAAAACUAUAUUUUUAUAUGAAGCUGUUUUCAGUUAAACAAGAAUAUAAAAAUGUCUUAAACAGAAAACUUUUAAAUUUUGUGGUUGCAACCUUAUGUAUUUUAAAAUGGCCAAACCCACUUAAGAUUUUUUUGGUUAAAAACCGCUUUUCCUCCCCUUCGGAACUCCUGUAAGUUUUCACUUCUGGGCAGCAGCUUUGCAGUAGUGGAUAACUGUAGAGCUGAGGGAUGUUUGGGAGAACAUGCUUAGUAAGCAAGCUCUGAAAGCCAAUUGUCUUUAUUUUUUAAACUUAUUUUUAUUUGAGGUCUUGCAGUAACAGGAUAAUAAAUGAUCAAUGUGUAGUUUUUUGAUAAUUAUGCAAUUUUUUUUAAAAAAGCCUGCUGGAAUAUUCUACAGUAAUGGUCCAACUUACAGAUUGCAUUAAUGUUACUAUAAUGCUUGGAGUAUUAUUGAAGAAUAGUCAAUUUUUCAUUUUUAUAAAGAGUAUUACAACUGGCUACAGCUAAGGGUAUUUAUUAAAUAUACUUUAAAUAAUGUCAGAAGCACCCAGAGUGAUGAUCAUUGUUAUGCCUUCAUAAAUCAAAAGA